AACGAACGCUGGCGGCGCGCUUAACACAUGCAAGUCGAGCGAAGCGGCGGACGGGUGAGUAACACGUGAGUAACCUGCCUUAGACAUUGGGAUAGCCUCGGGAAACCGGGAUUAAUACCAAAUGGUCUAAGAUGGACUCGCGUCCCAUUAGCUAGUUGGUGAGGUAACGGCCCACCAAGGCGACGAUGGGUAGCCGGCCUGAGAGGGUGAACGGCCACAUUGGAACUGAGAAACGGUCCAAACUCUACGGGAGGCAGCAGUGGGGAAUAUUGCACAAUGGAGGGAACUCUGAUGCAGCGACGCCGCGUGAACGAAGAAGGCUUUCGAGUCGUAAAGUUCUGUCCUAUGGGAAGCAGUACCAUAGAAGAAAGCUCCGGCUAAAUACGUGCCAGCAGCCGCGGUAAUAC
rnacentral:rRNA from 1 species